AUGUUUUUUCAGAAGAUAGCGACUCGAAUGCCUUAAGCUUAGUACAUGACAGCGCUGGGGAUAAUCCAGAAUCUUCAGGAGAGUCUGGGCCACGUCCUUAACAAUAUGAGCCGCGUAGGGUUCACCGAAGCGAUCCGCACGAAGACAGUACAGAACAUGUCGACAGCGAUGCGACCGUCUCGGAAACUCAGACUGGAAAUUUCGCUAAAUUGCCUACAGAUAGCUUGUUCGUUGGUGUUGGGGAUAUCUCGGCAAACACUUUAGGGUCGCUGUGCUAUCUUGUGCGGGUUUCUCAAAGGAAGCACUAAGUGGGGCUGGCAUGGAUUUUCUUAUAGAACAUAAGGGUUGAUUAUGGGAUCCUGUAUAGAAUUCUUUGUAUAGAA